rnacentral:rRNA from 1 species
UUAAAUUGAAGAGUUUGAUCAUGGCUCAGAUUGAACGCUGGCGGCAGGCCUAACACAUGCAAGUCGAGCGGUAGCACAGAGAGCUUGCUCUCGGGUGACGAGCGGCGGACGGGUGAGUAAUGUCUGGGAAACUGCCUGAUGGAGGGGGAUAACUACUGGAAACGGUAGCUAAUACCGCAUAACGUCGCAAGACCAAAGUGGGGGACCUUCGGGCCUCAUGCCAUCAGAUGUGCCCAGAUGGGAUUAGCUAGUAGGUGGGGUAACGGCUCACCUAGGCGACGAUCCCUAGCUGGUCUGAGAGGAUGACCAGCCACACUGGAACUGAGACACGGUCCAGACUCCUACGGGAGGCAGCAGUGGGGAAUAUUGCACAAUGGGCGCAAGCCUGAUGCAGCCAUGCCGCGUGUGUGAAGAAGGCCUUCGGGUUGUAAAGCACUUUCAGCGGGGAGGAAGGCGAUAAGGUUAAUAACCUCAGCGAUUGACGUUACCCGCAGAAGAAGCACCGGCUAACUCCGUGCCAGCAGCCGCGGUAAUACGGAGGGUGCAAGCGUUAAUCGGAAUUACUGGGCGUAAAGCGCACGCAGGCGGUCUGUCAAGUCGGAUGUGAAAUCCCCGGGCUUAACCUGGGAACUGCAUUCGAAACUGGCAGGCUAGAGUCUUGUAGAGGGGGGUAGAAUUCCAGGUGUAGCGGUGAAAUGCGUAGAGAUCUGGAGGAAUACCGGUGGCGAAGGCGGCCCCCUGGACAAAGACUGACGCUCAGGUGCGAAAGCGUGGGGAGCAAACAGGAUUAGAUACCCUGGUAGUCCACGCCGUAAACGAUGUCGAUUUGGAGGUUGUGCCCUUGAGGCGUGGCUUCCGGAGCUAACGCGUUAAAUCGACCGCCUGGGGAGUACGGCCGCAAGGUUAAAACUCAAAUGAAUUGACGGGGGCCCGCACAAGCGGUGGAGCAUGUGGUUUAAUUCGAUGCAACGCGAAGAACCUUACCUGGUCUUGACAUCCACAGAACUUUCCAGAGAUGGAUUGGUGCCUUCGGGAACUGUGAGACAGGUGCUGCAUGGCUGUCGUCAGCUCGUGUUGUGAAAUGUUGGGUUAAGUCCCGCAACGAGCGCAACCCUUAUCCUUUGUUGCCAGCGGUUCGGCCGGGAACUCAAAGGAGACUGCCAGUGAUAAACUGGAGGAAGGUGGGGAUGACGUCAAGUCAUCAUGGCCCUUACGACCAGGGCUACACACGUGCUACAAUGGCAUAUACAAAGAGAAGCGACCUCGCGAGAGCAAGCGGACCUCAUAAAGUAUGUCGUAGUCCGGAUUGGAGUCUGCAACUCGACUCCAUGAAGUCGGAAUCGCUAGUAAUCGUAGAUCAGAAUGCUACGGUGAAUACGUUCCCGGGCCUUGUACACACCGCCCGUCACACCAUGGGAGUGGGUUGCAAAAGAAGUAGGUAGCUUAACCUUCGGGAGGGCGCUUACCACUUUGUGAUUCAUGACUGGGGUGAAGUCGUAACAAGGUAACCG